ACACUUAAUCAAAUAAUUUCCCCUCAUCUCCACUUCCUGGACAUCUACGUUUGUCUGAAGUAUGAUAUAUGUGUAUUGCGGGAUUAUAUUGAAUGUCGUUCAUGGCUUGCCGACAAGUAUCUUAUGGUUGUUGAUCCAAUACAUCCAAUCUCAUCCACAAUGUAGAAAAAUACUACAGCGGAAUGUGCAAAGAGACGUAGCAUAAGACAAGCGAUUGUAUUGGCCAAGCAUGCAAUGCAAUAUAAAAAAGGGACGUUUCGACAAGUUUUAUGGGAUUCUUCAAAACAGAACUCCCCAACGACAUCAUCUCCCAUGAAAAUGAAAUAGUGGAAAAGCAUUCAAAGUAACCAGUUUAUUACGGCAAGAUUUCUAAGGAUAUGGGAUGAAAAAAAUCAUUUCCAUGGAAGUUCAUUCGGUGUCACUGAUUUUUUACUAAUUGAUGAAAAUGUUCGUUAUCCUGAUUUUUCUUUUGCAUAUAUUUAUUAUGAUAAGAGCUCUUAUUUUACCGACUUACAAUUUUGCAGGCUGAUGUUGUUGAAGGAAAAAUUUAUCAAAACCAUGCAGAAACAUAUAGCAACAUAAUAAAUGAUAUAGAUAUAUUCGAAAUAACCCAUUUUAAAAUUUUACCAAAUAAAACUACAUACAAGUUAACAGAUAAUAAAUUUCGUAUUUGUUUUAUGAGACAUACUUCUGUUAAAAAAGUAGAUGCUACCAAUUUCAAUAUUGCCACAGAGAAAUUUCGAAUCCGUCUACACUGUGAUUUGUUGGCAUUGGCACACAAAAAAGAAGACUUACCAGAUAUUGUUGGAGUGGUAGCCUCAGUACAAGGAUAAAAUCUACGAUUGUCAUCAUCGACUCAGAAAAUCAUUCUCCGUUUAUUAUUAAAAGACAAAAAAAUCGUAAAACUUUCAAUUUGGGAUGAACCUGCAGCCUAUAUUCGUUCACAAAUGGACAAGUUGAAUAUCAGAAGGAGCAUCAUGGUUGUUACUGCUGUAAUCCCAAAGAUUCUCGACGGUGUUUUAUCGCUCAACUCAUCGUCAUCUACAAAGAUUUAUAUAGAUGAAAACCUCGACAUCAUCAAAAAAUUCCGACAAAGAUAUUGAAGACAUCAGGCAGCGGAACAGAAGACAAUCAUAACACAACCACGACAUCAAACCGACACAUCAACUACGCAAAACAUUUAUGUUUCAUCACUCCUUUACCUCUUCAACAUAAAAUAUCAUGAUGUUAUAUUAAUUCGAUUGUAUGAUUAUAA